rnacentral:rRNA from 1 species
CCUUCGGGCGCCGACGAGUGGCGGACGGGUGAGUAACGCGUAGGAAUCUGCCUGUUAGUGGGGGACAACGUGGGGAAACUCACGCUAAUACCGCAUACGCCCUACGGGGGAAAGCGGGGGCUCUUCGGACCUCGCGCUAACAGAUGAGCCUGCGUGGGAUUAGCUAGUUGGUAGGGUAAAGGCCUACCAAGGCGACGAUCCCUAGCUGGUCUGAGAGGACGAUCAGCCACACUGGGACUGAGACACGGCCCAGACUCCUACGGGAGGCAGCAGUGGGGAAUAUUGGACAAUGGGCGCAAGCCUGAUCCAGCAAUACCGCGUGUGUGAAGAAGGCCUGAGGGUUGUAAGGCACUUUCAAUGGGGAGGAAAACCUGCCGGUCAAUACCCGGCAGCUUGACAUUACCUUUAGAAGAAGCACCGGCUAACUCCGUGCCAGCAGCCGCGGUAAUACGGAGGGUGCGAGCGUUAAUCGGAAUUACUGGGCGUAAAGCGUGCGUAGGCGGUUGAUUAAGUCAGAUGUGAAAGCCCCGGGCUUAACCUGGGAACGGCAUUUGAUACUGGUUAACUAGAGUUGAGUAGAGGGGAGUGGAAUUUCAGGUGUAGCGGUGAAAUGCGUAGAUAUCUGAAGGAACACCAGUGGCGAAGGCGACUCCCUGGACUCAAACUGACGCUGAGGUACGAAAGCGUGGGUAGCAAACAGGAUUAGAUACCCUGGUAGUCCACGCCGUAAACGAUGUCAACUAGCCGUUGGUUCUAUUUACAGAAUUAGUGGCGCAGCUAACGCAUUAAGUUGACCGCCUGGGGAGUACGGCCGCAAGGUUAAAACUCAAAUGAAUUGACGGGGGCCCGCACAAGCGGUGGAGCAUGUGGUUUAAUUCGAUGCAACGCGAAGAACCUUACCUACCCUUGACAUCCAUAGAAUC